AUGCAAGUCGAGCGGUAGCACAGAGAGCUUGCUCUCGGGUGACGAGCGGCGGACGGGUGAGUAAUGUCUGGGAAACUGCCUGAUGGAGGGGGAUAACUACUGGAAACGGUAGCUAAUACCGCAUAACGUCGCAAGACCAAAGUGGGGGACCUUCGGGCCUCAUGCCAUCAGAUGUGCCCAGAUGGGAUUAGCUAGUAGGUGGGGUAACGGCUCACCUAGGCGACGAUCCCUAGCUGGUCUGAGAGGAUGACCAGCCACACUGGAACUGAGACACGGUCCAGACUCCUACGGGAGGCAGCAGUGGGGAAUAUUGCACAAUGGGCGCAAGCCUGAUGCAGCCAUGCCGCGUGUGUGAAGAAGGCCUUCGGGUUGUAAAGCACUUUCAGCGGGGAGGAAGGCGAUAAGGUUAAUAACCUUGUCGAUUGACGUUACCCGCAGAAGAAGCACCGGCUAACUCCGUGCCAGCAGCCGCGGUAAUACGGAGGGUGCAAGCGUUAAUCGGAAUUACUGGGCGUAAAGCGCACGCAGGCGGUCUGUCAAGUCGGAUGUGAAAUCCCCGGGCUCAACCUGGGAACUGCAUUCGAAACUGGCAGGCUAGAGUCUUGUAGAGGGGGGUAGAAUUCCAGGUGUAGCGGUGAAAUGCGUAGAGAUCUGGAGGAAUACCGGUGGCGAAGGCGGCCCCCUGGACAAAGACUGACGCUCAGGUGCGAAAGCGUGGGGAGCAAACAGGAUUAGAUACCCUGGUAGUCCACGCCGUAAACGAUGUCGAUUUGGAGGUUGUGCCCUUGAGGCGUGGCUUCCGGAGCUAACGCGUUAAAUCGACCGCCUGGGGAGUACGGCCGCAAGGUUAAAACUCAAAUGAAUUGACGGGGGCCCGCACAAGCGGUGGAGCAUGUGGUUUAAUUCGAUGCAACGCGAAGAACCUUACCUGGUCUUGACAUCCACAGAACUUAGCAGAGAUGCUUUGGUGCCUUCGGGAACUGUGAGACAGGUGCUGCAUGGCUGUCGUCAGCUCGUGUUGUGAAAUGUUGGGUUAAGUCCCGCAACGAGCGCAACCCUUAUCCUUUGUUGCCAGCGGUCAGGCCGGGAACUCAAAGGAGACUGCCAGUGAUAAACUGGAGGAAGGUGGGGAUGACGUCAAGUCAUCAUGGCCCUUACGACCAGGGCUACACACGUGCUACAAUGGCAUAUACAAAGAGAAGCGACCUCGCGAGAGCAAGCGGACCUCAUAAAGUAUGUCGUAGUCCGGAUUGGAGUCUGCAACUCGACUCCAUGAAGUCGGAAUCGCUAGUAAUCGUAGAUCAGAAUGCUACGGUGAAUACGUUCCCGGGCCUUGUACACACCGCCCGUCACACCAUGGGAGUGGGUUGCAAAAGAAGUAGGUAGCUUAACCUUCGGGAGGGCGCUACCAC
rnacentral:rRNA from 1 species